rnacentral:rRNA from 1 species
GACGAACGCUGGCGGCGUGCUUAACACAUGCAAGUCGAACGGGGAAAGCUUUCGGGUGAGUACUAGUGGCGCACGGGUGAGUAACGCGUGGAUAAUCUGCCUUAGAGUGGGGGAUAACUAGUCGAAAGAUUAGCUAAUGCCGCAUAAGACCACAAGAACUGCGGUUCAAGGGGUCAAAGGUUUUUCGCUCUAAGAUGAGUCCGCGUAAGAUUAGCUAGUUGGUAGGGUAACGGCCUACCAAGGCGACGAUCUUUAACUGGUCUGAGAGGAUGAUCAGGCACACUGGAACUGAGACACGGUCCAGACUCCUACGGGAGGCAGCAGUAGGGAAUAUUGCACAAUGGAGGAAACUCUGAUGCAGCGACGCCGCGUGAGUGAUGAAGGCCUUCGGGUCGUAAAGCUCUGUCGCAGGGGAAUAACACAAUGAAGGUACCCUGUAAGAAAGGAUCGGCUAACUUCGUGCCAGCAGCCGCCGUAAGAC